rnacentral:rRNA from 1 species
CGGCAACAGCUCAAAUUUGAAAUCUGGCCUAGCCCGAGUUGUAAUUUGCAGAGGAUGCUUCGGACGCGGCGCCUUCCAAGUCCCCUGGAAUGGGGCGCCUUAGAGGGUGAGAGCCCCGUACGGUUGGAUGCCAAGUCUGUGUGAAGCUCCUUCGAC